rnacentral:rRNA from 1 species
ACUCAAAUGAAUAGACGGGGACCCACACAAGCGGUGGAGCAUGUUGUUUAAUUCGACACAAAACGGGGAACCUUACCAAGGCUUGACAUCCUAAGAAUCCGCCGGAAACGGUGGAGUGCCGCAAGGAGCUUAGUGACAGGCGCUGCAUGGUUGUCGUCAGCUCGUGCCUUGAGGUGUACGGUUAGGUCCGCGAACGAGCGCAACCCUUGUCUUAUGUUACAAUUUCAUAAGAGACUGCCCGUGUCAAACGGGAGGAAGGUGAGGAUGACGUCAAAUCAGCAUGGCCCUUAUGCCUUGGGCUACUAACGUGCUACAAUGGGGUGUACAAUGGGUAGCCAAGUCGCAAGACGGAGCCAAUCCCAUCAAAGCACCUCCAAGUUCGGAUUGAGGGCUGCAACUCGACCUCAUGAAGCUGGAAUCGCUAGUAAUCGUGAAUCAGACAUGUCACGGUGAAUAUGUUCCUGGGUCUUGUACACACCGCCCGU